UGAUGUGGGAACCCUUGCUUACUUAACACCGCACCCGGGCGCCGGUAUGGCUCGUCGCUUUCAGUGAACGCCCUACUCCCUUGCAAAUUUCUCACUUAACAUACAAUCACAAUUAAAAAAGAAAAAUUAAAAUUUAUCUACAAAUUCAAAAAAGGGUCUUUUAUGAUCUUCUUUUGUUUUAACUUUUAUUUAAUCAUUUGUUUAUUUUAUUUUCACAAUCUCACUACAUAUCCAUGAAAACAAAUCAGCAAAUUAAAGAGCAUCUGUACUCUGCAACAAAUAAACCAGCAGCAAAUAAACACUAGUGAAAAAGAAAAAGGAAGAAGAAAGGAAAAAAAAUCAAGUUCUUGCGGAGAGUAGUGGUGAGUGCCGGUGGUGGAGAGAGGGAAGGAGAAAAAGGA
rnacentral:misc_RNA from 1 species